rnacentral:rRNA from 1 species
CGUAAAGCUCUGUUGUACGGGAAGAAUGUCGCUAUGGCUAACAUCCAUGGCGAGUGACGGUACCGUAUAAGAAAGGACCGGCUAACUUCGUGC